rnacentral:tRNA from 1 species
GCGCUAGUAGUAUAGUGGUUAGUAUAUUGGCCUUCCAAGCCGAGGACCGGGGUUCAAAUCCCCGCUGGCGCA